rnacentral:tRNA from 1 species
GAGAGCAUAGCUCAGUGGUAGAGUGCGUGCUGAAGCAUGUCUGAGUUCCUGGGUUCAAGCCCCAGUACCUCCA